rnacentral:tRNA from 1 species
GCCUGGGUGGCUCAGUCGGUUAAGCGUCCGACUUUGGCUCAGGUCAUCAUCUCCCAGUUUGUGGGUUCGAGCCCUGCAUCAGGCU